GUGCUUGGUCCGAGUUGGGCAAGUUGGUGUUUCUUAACUAUGAAAGUCUGAUACGCGUCCUCCCCUAAACUUCUGUUAGAACGGUGGGAAACAUUGCUCCCGUGAGAACGGUAUAGUGGACUUCAUUGCCACUGACCCACAUUUAUUAGGGUGUGACACGAACUUGUGGACAGAGUACCGAGCUGCUGCUUUGCCAGGUGGAUUUCUGGCUGCGGGCAAAGGACCCGACACAUCAGUGUGUUUUAAUUUGUUUUAAACUGGUGUAAGCCGACAGACUGACUGCUGCGGCUGUCGAUGGUUUUGGUUUUUUGUUUUACUUUUUCUGUAUCAGUAGGCACCACAGAUAUUGAUUCGCAGGCGGUGAAGGCGCUGCAGGGAAAACAAAUCCUUUUUUGUCUCCCCGCUCUUGCAUGCACAGCGGGGGGCCCGAGUGAAGACGGCACCGAAGAUUUGCCUUUUUUUUCUAUAGUGUUUUACCCAUUUGGGGUCAUGUGUGAGUUGCCGUCCAUUUUUAACCUGUGUGCUAUGUCGAUUUGUUUUUAAACUGUUCUCCGCAGCGCUUGUCCUGCCUCACGGGCAAUCGUACAGUCUUAUCGUUUUUUUAAUAAGGUAACGUUUUUAAUUGUUUUUAGGUGCUGCUGUUACACUGUUUCUUUUAUUUUGUAUUAAAAAUUAAACUCUUUUAAACUGACUGUGCGCCUACGGCUCUGUCCUAUUUUA